rnacentral:misc_RNA from 1 species
CAGCUACAGCAUUUUCCAACUCAUCUCCUUUAAGAGUUUGUGACAACUCUUCUCUAACAUCAGCCUCCACUUUAGAGACUGACUCUUCUUCUAAAGCCUCUUGAGCCUCUGCAGCCUUACUCUCAGUUUCUAAAAGCUCAGCAAUGAGCUCUUCAAUUUCCUUAUCAGUUAAGGGUUCCUCAGGAAGCGAGUGUUGAUUGUCAUCAUCAUCGUCAUCCAUUAUAGGAUCAUCUGAAUCAUCAUCGUUGAUAAACGAAUCAUCAGAAGGAUCAGAAGAAGCCUUUUCUACAUCUUCUUCUUCCAUUUCAAUGUGUUUUUCUUCUUCAUCUUCCAUCUCCCCUCUUUGUGUGUGUUCGAACUUGGUUUUGAAAAUCGAUACGAAACCAAGGGAAGAACAG